UUCCGACGGCUGGCGUCUGGCGAGGAUAUUUUUUAUCGUCUCUACCUCUUUUAAUCCGUCGAAAAAUGUUAACCGUUAUUGAAAUUUACCGAAUGGAAGUUGCCUGCUGGUUUACAAUGUAUUGCACUUGACGGAGUUAUUUGUUGACGGUCGUAAAAUUGACGUUAUUGCCCACUCUUAGAGACAUUUCGUGUCUGUUGCUUCUGCGAUGUGUUUAUAUGGCAUCGUGUGACCUGAACUAGUGGUUCUCAAAAUUUCGUAAUUCACGUGCCAAAUUUCUGAAGACGGAUCAAUAUAUUUACAUUUCUUAUUAUAUGUAAAAGUUUGUUCCUGCGGCGCCGCGUUUGGCAGGACCAGGGCGUGCCACACAGGCAGAUAUAUUCAUCUGGUG